GAUAUAAUACCAUCAACUGGUCUUAUGUUUAGAGAGACUCCAUCUUCUUACAAUUACUCAUGGCACACAGCACCAAGAAGACAGUUCAUAGUUAAUUUGGAUGCCAGUGUACAGGUAACUGUAUCUUCUGGUGAGAAAAGAAUUCUAAAAGAAGGAGAAGUGUUCUUUGUAGAGGAUACUACUGGGAAAGGUCAUUUUUCUGAGUCAGUGGAUGGUAAAGUUAGACGCUCACUUUUUCUGCCUGUGCCAGAUGAUUACAAAAUACCUACUGACUGCUAACUAAUUUUAGAUCUAAUUCAUAAUUUUUUAUUUUUUGAAUAGAAAAUAUUUUUAUUUAAAUUUAAUCAUUCAUCCAGCCCUGCCCACUCUGGUUGUGACUCGGGUUGUGGCCUCAAGGACUGUGUUUAUGGCCACUAGUCAAACUUGUUUAGAUGUUGAUGAGCUUGUUGAUGAUGUUAGUGACUUAUUGAAGGAAUCUAGAGUAAACAAUCAAAUAUCGGACUAAUCAAAAUUCGGACAGUUAUAUAUAUUUUUAAAACUUAAGAUGAUUUUCCAGUGAUUUUUGCACUAGA